GACGAACGCUGGCGGCGUGCUUAACACAUGCAAGUCGAACGGAAAGGCCCUGCUUUUGUGGGGUGCUCGAGUGGCGAACGGGUGAGUAACACGUGAGUAACCUGCCCUUGUCUUUGGGAUAACUUCAGGAAACUGGGGCUAAUACCGGAUAGGAGCUCCUGCUGCAUGGUGGGGGUUGGAAAGUUUCGGCGGUUGGGGAUGGACUCGCGGCUUAUCAGCUUGUUGGUGGGGUAGUGGCUUACCAAGGCUUUGACGGGUAGCCGGCCUGAGAGGGUGACCGGCCACAUUGGGACUGAGAGACGGCCCAGACUCCUACGGGAGGCAGCAGUGGGGAAUAUUGCACAAUGGGCGGAAGCCUGAUGCAGCAACGCCGCGUGCGGGAUGAAGGCCUUCGGGUUGUAAACCGCUUUCGCCUGUGACGAAGCGUGAGUGACGGUAAUGGGUAAAGAAGCACCGGCUAACUACGUG
rnacentral:rRNA from 1 species